rnacentral:lncRNA from 1 species
UUUAAAUUGUCCCUUACAUGUUAUUGUUUAGUAUAAAUACCAACUCAAUUCUCACACCUUUACAUCAUCAAUCACUUCUAAUUCUUUUCCAUCCAAUAAAAGACCGCACUUUAUUUUAUUCAAUAACAUUUUGGAAAAAAAAUGAAAUCCUCCUCCGCCAUCCUCCUCCUCCUCCUGGCUUUUUUUCUCUCUGCCACCGCCCAUUCAGCUGAAGCACCUACAAGUUCACCACUUUUAUCGAAUAUUUGUGAGUCUGCCGAGGAUGAUGAUAAAGCAUAUUGUCGUCAUUUCAUGAAUGAUAACCCAGAAUGCUCAGACAUAAAAUGUCUUAUGCAAAAAUCCAUCAGUGAUGCUGACAACGCAGCUUCCCUCUGCCUCGUAAUAGGUUCAGAAACUUUAAAGACAACGAAAUACAUUCGAGCAACCAAAAAAUGCAUCAGACAUUUCGAGUCCGUUGAAGAAAUCAUCAAAGGUGCAGAUACAUUGGUUAAAGAUGAAAAGUAUGAUUUGAUCGCAGAAAAGUAUGAAUUGAUCUACCAUCAUACAGAGAAAUGUGUUGUAGCCUACGGUGCUGGUACAAAUCCUUUCAACUUGGGGAUGAGGAAGGUCCUUAAAUCUUUGGACGUAGGAACUGUCAUCAUGGAAUAUAAAAAAACUCACUAAAUUGAAGAUGGAGAUCCAAACGAGAUCAUUGAUUAUCUCAAUUAUAUUAUGCUAAUUAUGAGGGAGCGGCUCUUGAUUAUAUAUUCAGCUCAUUGUGAAUUUUUUGUGUGAAUUGAAGUGUCUAAAUUUUACAAAAACAAAUUCUAUUUUCUUUUUUAUGAUAUGAAUUGAAAAAUUUAUUAUCUGUCCUUGUCAAUUAAGAAAACGCUUCAAUUUCACCAUUUUCAUCUGGACCAGAGCAGGUCAUUACAAAAAAUAAAACAUUGUGUGACUGAGUUUUGAUGAUGAAAAUCUGUCAUUACAAGUGAUCAGUGACGGAUUUUCGUCAUCAAAAGACCAUCAUGACGAUGACCGUCAGGAAAUCACCAUAUCCGUCAUUGAUAAUCUGUCAUCUAUUAUUUCAUCUCAUUUCCCACCAAAAAAUAAUACAUGGCGGAAAUCCGCCACUAAAUCUGAAAUUUUUCGCGGGAACUAUUAGAUUAGAUAACAGUAUUAGUUAAAGCAACAACUAUAGGUUGUUAGAAUAAUAGUUACAAGUAUAGACUAUAAAUAUGUAAUCAAACCAUUAAUAUAAUCAAUACAAUUUGGUUAUCAUUUACACCAUCUUAUAUGGUAUCAGUUUUUCGGGUUUAGAAUCAAGGAUGACGUUUUCCGCUGCAGAUUCGGGCGCAAAUGCUCCAUCAUCAAGGAUAGUGAUGAAGUCAAUGAAAUGCGUCCAACUGGAUAAGAGUAAUUACUACUCAUGGGAGGCACAAUUUUCGGCCAUGCUUAGGGGGUUUCAACUCUUCGAUUACGUUCUUGGGAAGGUUGAACUUUCGUCGCCAUCAUCGAUCUAGCAAGAUCAAUUGAUUUUGAGCUGGAUCUUGACCGGGAUCUCAACGACCAUUCUUCCACAAGUGGCAUCUCGGAAGACAUCGGCGGAGAUUUGGGAUGCAUUACGCAAACUCUACUCAUCGGGAACACAAGCAAGACAACUUUAUAUUCGCCUUCAACUCCAAUCGAUUCGAAAGGGAGGAUUAAAUAUUGAAGAGUACCUGUCAAAGAUUUCUAUUUUAAAAGAUGCUCUCGCAUCAACAGGAGAGGGACUUAAAGAAUCAGAAAUUGUGCUAAUCACCUUGGGAGGAUUGGGGGANNNNNNNNNNNNNNNNNNNNNNNNNNNNNNNNNNNNNNNNNNNNNNNNNNNNNNNNNNNNNNNNNNNNNNNNNNNNNNNNNNNNNNNNNNNNNNNNNNNNAAAAGGGGACACACGACGCCGGAUUGCUAUAAUCGUUUAAACCUAGAACGAUUUCCGCCGGCGCAUGGGAGGGCAAUUUCGUCUUCUGGAAUAACUGGAAAUUUUAACAAUACACCCUCCUCAUUUGGAACAAAUGGGAAUUUUCAUAAUACACCUUCAAGUCACAAUACAAAUGGGAAUUUUAGAAACACACCCUCGGCUAAUCUAAUUUAUGCAGAAGGUCCAACAAUAAUGUGGUACCCCGAUUCAGGGGCGACAUCACACGUUACAGCCGCACCUGAAAAUAUCCAAUACCCCAGAGUGUAUAAUGGUAAAAAUUUUACGACGGAUGGGAGUCCAUUGUCAAUUUCUUACUCUGGUCAAAGCAGAGCUAUUAUAGAUUCUAAUAAUUUCAUUCUUAAUGAUUUACUACUAGCCUUCGUUCUAAUAUAGUACCGGUAGCCUUCAGACGAAACUACAGGUGCUGGUCCCCAGAUAUCUGCAUAUAUGAUCUCAAGAGGAUAAUUGUAUGUAGAAUUUGUUGCUUUAUGAUUUAUUAAAUGGCUUUUAGCUAUGAUACAUGAUUCACAAUCAGAGAAUUUUUGAGUAGACAUGACAAUAUGAUUUUUAUUAACCAACUCUUUAACUGCUCUGAAGUGUAAGUGUCCUAGCCGUGAGUGCCAUUGAUCUCCUGUAACCGCCGAGAGUGCUUCUUCAUUUUUCCCGAUUUUUAGUGGUAGUUGAUAUAAUCCAUUUUUCUCCCGACCUUCAGCCAGCACCUUUUUAGUGUCGAGAUCCCGAACUUUGACACUCUGUUUGUCAAAUUUAAUACAAACUCUGUUGUCAGCACAUAAUCGUUGCACAGAUAAUAAAUUUCUCGAACUAUCUGGUACUAGUAGCAUAUCAUUCAAACAUAAAUUGAUAUUGUUAAUUUUAGCUUUGAAUUUCCCCAAUUGAGUAAUAGGCAUACUAUCCCCAUUAGCCACGAAAACAGAAGAAAUACCUUGAUAAGGUUGUGCAUCCUGGAUUAGCGUACCUGACUCAGUUAUAUGUGUCGUUGCUCCUGAGUCGGGGUACCACAUUGACAUGGCACUACGAUUCACGGCCAAGUUUGCCUCAGGUUAGGGUUGAGUUGCAGAAGAAAUUCCUACUGGAAUUAAAGUUCGUCCAUGUUUUGGGGGAAAACGUGCAAAAUUCACUCUAUUGUAACAAUUAAGAGCACCAUGCCCCUUUUUAUUGCAGAUUUGGCAGGGAUGCGUUCGCGCGGAAGAGGAGAAAUCGGAAUCGCGCGAUUUUGUAGAGGCAGAGGAGUCGGAUGCGGCUCUGGAUUUUGCCGCGACGUUCGCCUCCAGGGUUCUUGAUUCCGACGACUGCUGAAAACGUAAAUCAUGUUCGAUUAGGAGCUGCUGGAAUCCGGCGAACAACAUGCUAUGGUCAAAUCUGGUGGUGAUUGAUGUUACGAACGCUUGAAAAUCGACGCCGAGUCCUCCUAGCGCAAGAAGAAUUAGUUGCGAUUCCUUCAUUCCUUCACCACAAUCCGAGAGUUUGUCUUUGAGUAUACAGAUUUUUCGCAAGUAUUCUUUUACCGAAAGGUCAUUCUUCUUGAUACUUUGCAGUUGAGACCGCAAGUGAAGGAUCCGUGUCUCGGAGUCCGAUGAAUGCAAUUGACGCAAGCAUUCCCAGACCGUAGCAGAUGUGGUGAGCGCAGCCACUUGGGGGAGAAUCGUCGGCGAGAUCGUCGACAAUAGCCAGCUAAGGAUGAGCUGGUCCUGCUGCUCCGCUAGAGGAUCAUCAGUCACAUUAAUCCUCCCUUCCACAUAUUCCAGCAGCUUAUACCCUCGGAGUAAUGCCGAGAAUUGAGCCUUCCAAGAGAAGUAGUUUUCCCCAUCAAGAGUAACACAUUUCAUAUAUUUCAUCAUGAUGACUUUUGUCGAUGAAGCAGGAGACGAGUUCUUACCGGCAUCUUGAGUCCCUGCAGCGAAAGAAGGAUUGGCAGAGCCGAAGCUGUUGGUUGGUGAUGAUACCAUAUUGAAACAGGGAAUGAGAGAUUCAAUGAAUGGAGCUAAGAUGAUGAAGAUGGCAAGAAUCGAAUGAGUAUUAUUGAUGGAGUGGUGGUGUUUAUAUACAAGUAUUAAACCUAUAACAAUUUCAAUUAGUUAAGAAGUUUCUAGAUUUAGUUAGUUACAAUAUGAAGUAAAUUUGUUUUGAACAUAAAAAUUGUAAACGAAGAAGGUCACUGGUAUAAAUGGUAUUAUUACUACAUUUCUGUUUUCUUUUGUUUUACAUAGGAUGUCGUCAACUAAAACUUGAUUCGUUAAGCUCGAGCUCGCGAGCCUAAAGCUCAAUAAGCUUGAUAAACUUAUCGAGCCGAGCUAGGACUUUUCAAGCUCGGCUCGAUAAACUCAUUAAAAGCUUUUUAAUAAUUAAAUAAAAUAUAUAUAUUAAGAGAUGGUAUUAAUUGAUAAAGAUUAUUGAAUAAAUUGCAAAAAAAAUUAAAUAAAAUCUAAAUCUAAAAAAAACUAAAUAUAGAUAUUUUUCUUAAAAUAUUUACAUUUUUUUUUUAAUUUGCAGAAUUGUGAGUUAAAUUUCAAGUUCGAGCUCGCAUUUGAACUCACGAGUUUCGAACCCGAGCCUGAACAAUUUCUUAACGAGUUGAGUCUGAGUCCGAGCUUGAACAAUUUCUUAAUGAGUCGAGUCCGAGCUCGGCCAAACCAGGCUCGACGAGUUACGAGGCGAGCCUGAGUCCGAAUCUAUAAAUAAAAGCUCGGUUCGUUUGACACCCUAGUUUACAUUAACAACACCUUAUCUAGAAUAAGUUAAACAUUAUGAAUCAUUCCUACAUUCACUCAAUACUUGUUAUAAAAAGCUUAAAAAACACAACAACAAAAAAUAUCACAACUAAGAAUUAAACUAAAUUUUGCAUGACUUUGAAUUUAACUGUUUUUUCCAUUACAAUUUUAAACAUGAAACCAAUGGCUUUAAAUUGUCCCUUACAUGUUAUUGUUUAGUAUAAAUACCAACUCAAUUCUCACACCUUUACAUCAUCAAUCACUUCUAAUUCUUUUCCAUCCAAUAAAAGACCGCACUUUAUUUUAUUCAAUAACAUUUUGGAAAAAAAAUGAAAUCCUCCUCCGCCAUCCUCCUCCUCCUCCUGGCUUUUUUUCUCUCUGCCACCGCCCAUUCAGCUGAAGCACCUACAAGUUCACCACUUUUAUCGAAUAUUUGUGAGUCUGCCGAGGAUGAUGAUAAAGCAUAUUGUCGUCAUUUCAUGAAUGAUAACCCAGAAUGCUCAGACAUAAAAUGUCUUAUGCAAAAAUCCAUCAGUGAUGCUGACAACGCAGCUUCCCUCUGCCUCGUAAUAGGUUCAGAAACUUUAAAGACAACGAAAUACAUUCGAGCAACCAAAAAAUGCAUCAGACAUUUCGAGUCCGUUGAAGAAAUCAUCAAAGGUGCAGAUACAUUGGUUAAAGAUGAAAAGUAUGAUUUGAUCGCAGAAAAGUAUGAAUUGAUCUACCAUCAUACAGAGAAAUGUGUUGUAGCCUACGGUGCUGGUACAAAUCCUUUCAACUUGGGGAUGAGGAAGGUCCUUAAAUCUUUGGACGUAGGAACUGUCAUCAUGGAAUAUAAAAAAACUCACUAAAUUGAAGAUGGAGAUCCAAACGAGAUCAUUGAUUAUCUCAAUUAUAUUAUGCUAAUUAUGAGGGAGCGGCUCUUGAUUAUAUAUUCAGCUCAUUGUGAAUUUUUUGUGUGAAUUGAAGUGUCUAAAUUUUACAAAAACAAAUUCUAUUUUCUUUUUUAUGAUAUGAAUUGAAAAAUUUAUUAUCUGUCCUUGUCAAUUAAGAAAACGCUUCAAUUUCACCAUUUUCAUCUGGACCAGAGCAGGUCAUUACAAAAAAUAAAACAUUGUGUGAUUGAGUUUUGAUGAUGAAAAUCUGUCAUUACAAGUGAUCAGUGACGGAUUUUCGUCAUCAAAAGACCAUCAUGACGAUGACCGUCAGGAAAUCACCAUAUCCGUCAUUGAUAAUCUGUCAUCUAUUAUUUCAUCUCAUUUCCCACCAAAAAAUAAUACAUGGCGGAAAUCCGCCACUAAAUCUGAAAUUUUUCGCGGGAACUAUUAGAUUAGAUAACAGUAUUAGUUAAAGCAACAACUAUAGGUUGUUAGAAUAAUAGUUACAAGUAUAGACUAUAAAUAUGUAAUCAAACCAUUAAUAUAAUCAAUACAAUUUGGUUAUCAUUUACACCAUCUUAUAUGGUAUCAGUUUUUCGGGUUUAGAAUCAAGGAUGACGUUUUCCGCUGCAGAUUCGGGCGCAAAUGCUCCAUCAUCAAGGAUAGUGAUGAAGUCAAUGAAAUGCGUCCAACUGGAUAAGAGUAAUUACUACUCAUGGGAGGCACAAUUUUCGGCCAUGCUUAGGGGGUUUCAACUCUUCGAUUACGUUCUUGGGAAGGUUGAACUUUCGUCGCCAUCAUCGAUCUAGCAAGAUCAAUUGAUUUUGAGCUGGAUCUUGACCGGGAUCUCAACGACCAUUCUUCCACAAGUGGCAUCUCGGAAGACAUCGGCGGAGAUUUGGGAUGCAUUACGCAAACUCUACUCAUCGAGAACACAAGCAAGACAACUUUAUAUUCGCCUUCAACUCCAAUCGAUUCGAAAGGGAGGAUUAAAUAUUGAAGAGUACCUGUCAAAGAUUUCUAUUUUAAAAGAUGCUCUCGCAUCAACAGGAGAGGGACUUAAAGAAUCAGAAAUCGUGCUAAUCACCUUGGGAGGAUUGGGGGACAAAUUUGAAUCUUUUGUAACCGCAAUCACCACACCAUUCAAUCCAGACCUAACGUUCACCGGAGUAUGCGAGAUGUUGAUGGACCACAACCUCCGACUGAAGAAAUUGCGAGUUGCAGCCGUCGCCGGAAAUGCUGCUGCCGUCGUCGCCAAAAUGCCUCAACCGCCGCAGCAAGAACGACGCUACCAGAACACCUACGGCGGUGGACAGAAAUCGCAAAGAGGGGAUCUCCGCUGCCAGAUCUGCUCGAAAAGGGGACACACGGCGCCGGAUUGCUAUAAUCGUUUAAACCUAGAACGAUUUCCGCCGACGCAUGGGAGGGCAAUUUCGUCUUCUGGAAUAACUGGAAAUUUUAACAAUACACCCUCCUCAUUUGGAACAAAUGGGAAUUUUCAUAAUACACCUUCAAGUCACAAUACAAAUGGGAAUUUUAGAAACACACCCUCGGCUAAUCUAAUUUAUGCAGAAGGUCCAACAAUAAUGUGGUACCCCGAUUCAGGGGCGACAUCACACGUUACAGCCGCACCUGAAAAUAUCCAAUACCCCAGAGUGUAUAAUGGUAAAAAUUUUACGUCGAAUGGGAGUCCAUUGUCAAUUUCUUACUCUGGUCAAAGCAGAGCUAUUAUAGAUUUUAAUAAUUUCGUUCUUAAUGAUUUACUACUAGCCUUCGUUCUAAUAUAGUACCGGUAGCCUUCAGACGAAACUACAGGUGCUGGUCCCCAGAUAUCUGCAUAUAUGAUCUCAAGAGGAUAAUUGUAUGUAGAAUUUGUUGCUUUAUGAUUUAUUAAAUGGCUUUUAGCUAUGAUACAUGAUUCACAAUCAGAGAAUUUUUGAGUAGAUGCGAGCCCGAGUCCGAAUUUAUAAAUAAAAGCUCGGUUCGUUUGACACCCUAGUUUACAUUAACAACACCUUAUCUAGAAUAAGUUAAACAUUAUGAAUCAUUCCUACAUUCACUCAAUACUUGUUAUAAAAAGCUUAAAAAACACAACAACAAAAAAUAUCACAACUAAGAAUUAAACUAAAUUUUGCAUGACUUUGAAUUUAACUGUUUUUUCCAUUACAAUUUUAAACAUGAAACCAAUGGCUUUAAAUUGUCCCUUACAUGUUAUUGUUUAGUAUAAAUACCAACUCAAUUCUCACACCUUUACAUCAUCAAUCACUUCUAAUUCUUUUCCAUCCAAUAAAAGACCGCACUUUAUUUUAUUCAAUAACAUUUUGGAAAAAAAAUGAAAUCCUCCUCCGCCAUCCUCCUCCUCCUCCUGGCUUUUUUUCUCUCUGCCACCGCCCAUUCAGCUGAAGCACCUACAAGUUCACCACUUUUAUCGAAUAUUUGUGAGUCUGCCGAGGAUGAUGAUAAAGCAUAUUGUCGUCAUUUCAUGAAUGAUAACCCAGAAUGCUCAGACAUAAAAUGUCUUAUGCAAAAAUCCAUCAGUGAUGCUGACAACGCAGCUUCCCUUUGUCUCGUAAUAGGUUCAGAAACUUUAAAGACAACGAAAUACAUUCGAGCAACCAAAAAAUGCAUCAGACAUUUUGAGUCCAUCGAAGAAAUCAUCAAAGGUGCAGAUACAUUGGUUAAAGAUGAAAAGUAUGAUUUGAUCGCAGAAAAGUAUGAAUUGAUCUACCAUCAUACAGAGAAAUGUGUUGUAGCUUACGGUGCUGGUACAAAUCCUUUCAAUUUGGGGAUGAGGAAGGUCCUUAAAUCUUUGGACGUAGGAACUGUCAUCAUGGAAUAUAAAAAAACUCACUAAAUUGAAGAUGGAGAUCCAAACGAGAUCAUUGAUUAUCUCAAUUAUAUUAUGCUAAUUAUGAGGGAGCGGCUCUUGAUUAUAUAUUCAGCUCAUUGUGAAUUUUUUGUGUGAAUUGAAGUGUCUAAAUUUUACAAAAACAAAUUCUAUUUUCUUUUUUUUGAUAUGAAUUGAAAAAUUUAUUAUCUGUCCUUGUCAAUUAAGAAAACGCUUCAAUUUCACCAUCUUCAUCUGGAGGUCAUUACAAAAAAUAAGACAUUGUAUGACGGAGUUUUGAUGGUGAGAAUCUGCCAUUAUAAGUGAUCAGUGACGGAUUUCCGUCAUCAAAAGACCGUCAGAAAAUCACCAUAUCGUCAUCUAUUAUUCCACCUCAUUUCCCACCAAAAAAUAAUACAUGGUGGAAAUCCGUCACUAAAUCUGAAAUUUUUCACGGGAACUGAAAAUUAUAUGAUGACGGAAAUCCGUCAUGUAUUAUAUGACGCAAAAGAAAUUUGACGUCAAUUUAUCUAUGGCGGUUAAAUACAUUGAUGGUGGAUUUCCGCCAUUCAACUUCAAAACAUACAGUGGCGGAAAUUCGCGAUUAUAAAGCUCAUUAGGGCGGUUGUCUCCAUCUAUCGAUGGCGGAAAUCUGCCACCAAUAACCUUGGAAGGGCGGUUAAAACCCAUCUUUAAAUGACAGAUAUCCGUCAUAGGAAACCCUUAUAGGCGGAAUCACAAACUUGACUUCAAAAUAAACGAAAUGUUUGUCAAGUCCAUGCUGAAAGUUCUGAAUGCUUCAAUCAUCGCCAUAACUGUUGUUCACAUCGACUCCACCUCUUUGUUUACUUUCGAUAAUUUCUUUAUGUUUGUGUUCUGAAAUUUUAAAUAUAUUCCAAAAUUAUAAAAAUGAGUUCGAACAUUUAUGAAAUCAAUUAAAUAAAUUAAUAAUACCUUAAUUUUAAUCAUUUUUGCCGUCCAUCUUAAACGUUCGUCAUUAGAUAAGAAUUAUUUUCAGAGACACUUUUUCCUUUUCAAUCAGAAGUGGCUCAUCUUUCGCUGGUCGUACUAACCGUUGCUGCAAACGAUGUUGAUAUUACAAUUAAUUCAGUUCCACCGAUCACCAGUGCUACCUUCACUGGCGACUUGUCGAAAUUGGUCUACAUCAAAUCUGCAAAGAUUGUCACUUGGUGAACUUUUUCGCCCAAAUAACUAAUAAUUUAUAGAUAAAAUUAAGAAUAUUAAGGCCUAUUAGCUCAGUUGGUUAGAGCGUCGUGCUAAUAACGCGAAGGUCACAGGUUCGAGACCUGUAUAGGCCAUUUUAUUUUUUUAUAAUAAUAGUUUAUUUUAAAUAAAAGUAUUUCAGUAAUAUUUUCUUUUAUAAUCUGGCGGGAAGAGUAGCGACGACCACUCGAGUGCGAUUUCUUUCCGACUUCACGCUGCCUUUUUUCCGAUUGAAAAAAAAAAGAAUUCAGAGUCUGUUCCUACACUUAUUAAAUGGUCUUCUGACGAGCUCUGCAUUAUGGGAAUCGACGAAGGAUCCCGUUUUAGGUAUUUCCUUCCUUUCAAAGUUUCAUUCAUUAUGGAAAUGAUAGUACGGUGGUUGCAGGUCCGAUGGUUUAUGGAUGCAUGUAUUCCCUGUACCAUUUCUUACAAAAACACACUUACAUCUCUAGAAUUUGCAGGUCCGACAUUCCCCCUAAUCAUUUCAGAAUUUGCAGGCCUCUUCUUUUGUAAAAUAAUUAUUUUUGGACAGAUUCAAAGACACUGAAAGAGGAAAAGAGAGAAGAGUUGUUUGAAAAUCUGAAGAUGGACAAUUGCAUUGGAUGGGAAGCUUUCAGCUAAGAUGCUAAAAAAGUGUGUGAAUAAAUCGAUUAUUUAGUAUCCAUCUGACCAUCUAUAUAUAUAUAUCUAUUUUGUAUUUAGUUUUUUCUUAUGUGAAUGAAGUUUUGUUAUCGACAUACACAGGACAAAGAUCAAUCUGAAUGAAAUUUCACACGAUUCGGCAAUGGGGCUUAUCAGAAGGGUUCUUGACUUUGGUGUAAUGUUAACUGAAGUGAACUGAUUGACUCUCAUUCUUGAUAUAUAUUUUCCCAUAAACUCUUAUUUCUUGAAUUUCCAUAAUCAAUUACUGAUCCAAUUGUUUUCCCUUGAUUAGAUCAACUUGGAAACAGUUGGAGAUGUAGACAAGUACAGAAUCAAAAUAUCUGAGAGAUUCCCCGGUAUUAAAAUCGUUGUGUCGUAAAAGGCUGACAGUAUUUACCCAAUUGUUAGUGAAGCUAGCAUUAUCGCAAAGAUUGUAUAACAGACACCUCUUUAUUAUCUAGAAUUAACUUGAAUAACCAAUCAUAUGAUCAAAUCAAUUCAGGUUUCUCAAGAUCUUAACUGGGUGCUUAGCGAAACUGCUAAGAAUAUAGAUAGGAACUUUGGAUCUGGAUACCCAGGAGGUAAAAUAAUUUUCUCUUUUAAAUUUUUCUUUUGCUCAUCAAUUAGUUUAGCAGUAAAGUUUCAUUGGUUGUUAAAAGAAGUCAAAAUCUCCACAAUUCUGUAAUUAGAAUUUAUAAGCAUCUUACUUUCUGCUUUUCAUCAUCAGAUCCUGAAACAAAGACAUAGUUAAAAAGCAACAAACAUUUUGUAUUUGGAUUCCCAUCUCUAGUUCGCAUCAGCUGGGAAUCAUGUUCACCUUAUUCAGACUGUGUUGAAGUUGCAUGGUGGGUUCUUCUGAUCUUGUUAAAAUUUGGUGUUGCUUACUUCAGUUGUUAGAAUUUAAAAAGAUUCUUGGUCAUAUUUGCUAUUUACAGGGAGAAUGAUGAUGAGGAUGCUGAGUCUUCAAGCAAGAGCACUGGUUCCAGUGAUGACGGCGCCACGAGGAAAAAAGGGAAGAAGUGGAACCAGGUAGAUGUAAGCUUCAACUUAUUAAACAUUUCAAAUGAUUUUUGAUCCUUCGUUUUAUUUACCACUACUACUAGUGUUUACUAUGAUUUUUACAAGUGUAAAAAUAUUGUUAUAUUUUUGGUCAGUUUAAAAAAAAAAGUGGCUAUCAUCUUUCUGUUUCCAUUUUCCGCAUGUUGACACGUCAGACUGAACAGUCAACGUUGUUCUUAUCCGCAUCGCAUUCACAUUUUCAUAUCCCGGUGACGUGGUGGGUCCAUCUAAAUGGAUAAGAUUAAAAUAAUCUGUUUGUAGUUGCCACGUCAUUAUCCACCGACCACAGGCAACUACUAUUUAUUACCAUCAUAACCCUGCCUGCUUCAAUUGUUCCGCGUUUGCCAUUCCUCUCUGUUCAGAUAUUUAUAAUCUGAUCUUCUUCUCUCGCCCGAUCACUGCAGUGGCCAUCCAUCUAUGAUCUAUCAAUCGAUCUACGGCUUCUUUGCUACUUAUUUCUUCAAUGGAAGCUUUCCGACCGAAGAAAUCCCCCUUAUCCGAUAGAUUGUUUGGCAGUUUUGCAGCUUCUGAAACCCUAGAAACAGCUGUUCGCGGUAACGACGGUGGUGAGUUGGAUGAGAAGGAAGUUUUCUGUGUAGGUACAGAUUUCUAUUCGAAAUCUUUUCCGUCGGACACUGAGAAUCAUUCCUCGGCAUCUGCCACCAUGUCUCCUUCCGGUAGUUUCCGACUGCUUCCUUCUGUACAGAGUUUCGGCAUUCUCGCCGCCCUCCCGGAGGACAUCAAAUCUCAGAAGAAGAUGCCAGUGCGGAGCAACAGCUUCAUGCAACGGAAAUCCUCUAUGUCGUCGAUGAAUACGACAUCAACCUCGCCGUCUUCUUCGUCGGCGAGGGUGAUGAUUCCGAAGCCGAAGUCAUCGGAGUACAACGGAGGGGCAAUUAUUUUCCCACAGUCCGCACCGAUGAACGUACCGGUUGUGUCUAGAGAGAGUGAGAGAAAUCGGAAUUGGUGGGGGGAGGUUGAUUACGAAUAUGUAAGCGAUGCUGAUGAUGAUGAAGAAGAUGAGGGGAUGCUUCCGCCUCAUGAGAUCGUGGCAAGAGCAUCGCUAAGGGAUUCACCGAUGACAACAUUCUCGGUGCUGGAAGGCGUCGGUAGGACUCUGAAAGGGAGUGAUCUCAGGCGUGUACGCAAUGCUGUCUGGAGACAAACAGGUUUUCUAGAUUGACGGUCAGCCGUCUGUUGUUUGAGUUCUAGAGCAAGUCUUUUUUUUUUGCUGCGUUUUUUCCCGUUGGUUGGUAAAUGGUAACCCAAACAAACAGUGUGUUUUGACUGCAAAAAAUAUCUCUAUUUAACGAGGUGGAUUAUUUAAUUUCCCCACACAAUUUGCACUUUGCCCCAAAGACCAAACCAAAUAACCAAUUAUUCUUGCAGCUUUAAAUAUAUUUUUCUUGGCUAUUGACUUAUUUUUAAGAUAAAAUCAUCUGGUGAUUUUUUUAAUUUAAAAAAAAAUAGUGUCAUGUGCGAAAUAAAAAUAGUGUCAUAAAUGACAUAUUUAAAAUUUAAAUAUCUAAAAUUUUAAAUGGAUAAAUUUUAAAUGGAUAAACUUUUUACCUUGAUUUUUAAAGGACAUGAGAUUUAAUAAUCCUAUAUCUAAUAUAAUAUAAUUUAAUUUAUUAAAAAAGAAGAGCAAAAAUUAUUUUUCAAAAAACCGGAACGACUCGUUCGGGUUUCGCCCUGUCCCCAGACCCGUCCCGGAAUAUGACUGAGGCAACGAAGCAAAAAAAUUAAAAACGAGAUAGAAUAUCUGCCCCGUCCCGUAGCACCCCACCUUAUCUUAUCCAUUACUUUACAACUUACAAUUCCACUAAAUAUUGAUUUCCUCAUUUUCAUGCUUCCAAAUUGAAAUUAAAGAAAUCUUUCCUCAAAAGCUUGUGGAUUAGUUAAUUUUUUUCUUGUACAUCCAUUUAGAAACAUGAUGAUACCAGUCUGCAGUCUUAGUGUCUUACUGGGUUGGUUCAUUAGCCCAGUUUAUGAUCCACGAAUCAGGUGUGGACGCCGGACGUACAACCCAUCCGUAAUUCGUUAGGAACCUGUGUAAAUAUCUCAUCGAUUCACAAACUAUGGAUUUUUCUGUCUGUUGUCGAAAUUUUUUAAAAAAAUCUAAGAACACAAGUGAUGUUUACCCUCACAUGAUAUAUCAGAGUUAUAUAAUGUAUCACUAAAUACAUCGUAAUAAAAAUUACAUACACAGCAAGACUCAAAAACUGAAUCAUCAGAAAUUUUAAUAGUUAUUCAUUUGUGUAAAUUUAUCACAUGUGUCAGGCAAAUUCUAUGGGAAAAUAAUUUAGAAUCGAGUUGAAUUCUAUGGUCGGAGUUAACACUGAAUUCAAUGUGAAAGGAAAAAAUGAGUUUUAUUUCAUAAUAAUCAAAACUAUUAUACACUAAACUAUUCUUAUGAAAAGGAAAUGGUGAGAAAGUUUGGGAGAAUGUAAUUUAAUCCGUCAUUUUCAUUUAAAAACGUUAUUUAAAUCAUUCUGUUCUGUUGAUGGGUAAAAUAUCGAAAAAUCCUCCCCCUUUUGUUUACAAUCGGGGUAUUUAAGGUGAUGGAGGACGUGUGCUGCAUGGACACGUGGUAGGUCCGGUGUCUCCAUGCCGAUGGAAACCGGACAUGCAGCCGUGGUUUUGGCUGCAUGUGCUGGUGUUACGCAAUUGGAUAUCAACAGUUAUUCCCCUCCUAAAAGAAACCAAAAAGAAACGUUCUGCCCGUGGAGAUGGAGACAACGCGAUCCUUGUUGGAAGAAUACGGACUAGAGUUAGUUUAUCUGUAGACCGUGAUCGGGGGCCUCAUGGUUAUGUCAUCGGAUGACGGAUCUGAUGGUCAGCUAACGUCGCUCCUAGAGAGCCUGAACUUCUUGCUUUUCGAUGUGAAAAAAUGUUUCACGCUUCAACCGAAGGCUGACAUUGCCGAACCUAGUCUCUGUGUCUGUGAUGGUGUGUGCGAGUAUCGUGCAUCCAAUUCCACCCCCCAUUCAAGCCGUCGUACGGUGCGCAAAAGCCCGCGCUGAGGUGUUGAUCAUGGAUGGCAGAUCGUCCACUGUCGUUUUCUUUUACUCAUCUUUGUAUCUUGUAAUUUUUAUAGCUUCUUUGUACUUUGUUUGCAUUUGAAUAAUAAAAUGGGUUGUUUGCAAUUUUAGUUUCUUAUGUCUUUAAAAAGAGGGGUGUUGCUGGUUUGUUUGUAAGAGCUGUUCUUCAGGCGAUUUUUACUUGUCGCGUAAUAUGUCUAAAACUUCCCUAAAACUGACACCCUUUUCGACCUGUUUUUCGCGAGGUGUUUGUCGAUCUGGUUCGCCGCUGACGGCUGCUUGGGUGGAAUCAAAUAUGGAUUUUUCUAUUUACUUUCCAAAGUAAGUUUCUUCCUUUUUUCUUGAGAAGAGGGGUGUAAUGAUGCGUUUUUCUUUCUCUCUUUUUUUGGUGAAAAUUUCAAUUUUCUGCCGGCGCUUCCUUCAUCUUGCACUUCCACAGCGUCUCGUCUUGUCACGGUUGCGUCAGAUGGAUUGCGCCAAUCCAUUAAUGUAGAUUCUGAACGUGUCAGGUUUCCUUUCUAAACCCUCCACUUCGCUAUUUAAAUAGCGACCUCAUUCUUCCAUUUUUGCAGCGAGAUUUUGGUACCACCAACCCCCGGGCGUGAAGCGGACAAAAUAGAGCCUGGUGAGGGAAUAUUUUCUCUGUUGUCGUACUGUCGUUCCGAUUAAAUGGCUUUCCUUUUUACUGCUUACCACUCGUUUGCCUUUUUUUUCUUUUUCAGACUAUGCGUUCUUGGAACUUACUGAUUAUUUUGAUAGAGACGCGUUGACUCGCUCGCCACAGCUUAGUGCUCCUUCCCCAUUCCUGGCUAAUUCCCGGAUCUGCCGGUAGGUGAUCUUUCUUUUUUUAUCUCUGUUCUUCAUCAGGUCGUUAACUUCUUAUACAUUUCUUUCUCUUCUUCUUCUUUUUUUCUUUCUCUUUUUUUAAACCACUGAGAGUGACACUCGUGUUGAGACCCCCCCCGGGGGGUGGUACUUCUGUUCCGUCCAAUAUUGUUGCUUGGAGUUUUUUUCCGAUAUCUGUGACGCUAGAUGGCAUGCCGGUUCCAUUUUUCUAUUCCGCUCCAGUGACUACCGCUCGUUGGAAUGGCGUGACAGAGUUUGGGAGGGAUAUAGGGCUCCAUAACCCGGAGUGGAGGUCUCUGCAAUCCGUUCCUUGCCCGACUCUGUUGGAAGGUGCUAUUGCUACAAAUCUAAAUGUGAGAAGAAGAAAAUUCCGAGCUUGUUGUGAUUCUUUCUCCUCUUUUCUUUCUUCUUUCUUUUUUCUUUUAAAAUCUGGUGUUUUCUUGCCGUCGCUGCUUCCUCUCAAGGUUGCCUAUGCUUAGGUUAAUUAUAUGGUGUCGGAGAACGCAAGCUAUCGUACCAAGAAUACCCGUCUUAGCGCCAUGAUGAUUUUGACCAUCGCUUUUAUUUUGACCAUGAUGAUUUCCUUUUUCCUUCUACUAGCGUAGUUGGUGAUUGAAUUGUUCGUAUAAGUAAUGAUGUUAGUAGAAGUACACUACAAAGUAGCGUAUUGGGUAAGUACUAAUAUUAGCAGAAGUACACUACAUAGUAGCGUAGUUGGUGGUUGAAUUGUUCGUAUAAGUAGUGAUAUUAGCAGAAGUACACUACAAAGUAGCGUAUUGGGUAAGUACUAAUAUUAGCAGAAGUACAUUAUAUAUUAGCGUAGUUGGUGAUUGAAUUGUUCAUAUAAGUAGUGAUAUUAGCAGAAGUAUACUAGAAAGUAACGUAAUGGGUAAGUACUAAUAUUAGCAGAAGUAAAUUAGAAAGUAUCGUAUUGGGUAAGUACUAAUAUUAGCAGAAGUAUAUUGCAUAAUAGCGUGGUUGGUAAAUUAACACUUCUUAUAAGUAGUGAUAUUAGAAGAAGUACACUUGAAAAGUAGCGUAUUGGCUAAAUAUUAAUAUUAACAAAAGUACAUUGCAUAGUAGUGUGGUUGGUGAUUUAACACUUCGUAUAAAUAGUCAUAUUAGCAGAAGUACACUAUAAAGUAGCGUAUUGGGUAAGUACUAAUAUAUUUUUAGUCGAUCAUAAACGAACAGAAAAUCUCAUAGUUGAUGUGAAAUCAUAGUAUGAUUGAAUAGCCGAUUGAAAAGAAGAAAAUACUAAAAAGGGAAAAAAAUGUUAAGCAUUUCAUGUAAGAAGCAUAAAGGGAAAAAAAAAUAAAAAUAAAACACACACCUUCAAAUCGAAAGACAAACACACACCUUCAAAUCGAAAGACAAACACAGGGAAAUAUGAUUGUUGGGUUCCAAGAUCAGGAAAAUAUAAUAGAAGGAAAAUGAUGAACAAUUAGGAAGAUUGGAAAAAAAUAGAAGUUGAGAAAAAAAGGAAGUAAAGAAGAUUGAGACAAGGUGACAAUACCGAAUAAAGACAGAUGAAGAGAUAGGAAGGGCAAUAUGGUUGGUGUUAGGACGCUUUGUACAGAGAAAAGAUCGUGUUGACAAAAAUUAUGAGAGGAAAAAAUAUGAAUUUUACAUGAAAGAUUUAUAUUAAUAGAAGAAAAUAUUUAUAUAGCAUUGCAGUUCGAUAAAAUAUAACAACAUCCUUGUGUAAUAGAAGGAGAGAAUUGGGAAGAGAGUAUUCGGAUGGGAUGAAAGAUAAUGACAAGAGGAAAAUGACAAAGAUUUGAACAAAAAAUGCAGCACAACUAGGGGAGUACAAAUGUCAGGUUAGAUGUUGGUAAUGGUAAUGUGAGAGAGAAUAGUUGUAAGAUAUGACUACAAAAUAAAAAUGAAAGUAACAAGAAGAAUGGGAAGUAUUGCUGCAAAGGUAUACCGAAGAAGAAGAAGAAAACAUUUGCCAGACACAGGACAGAGAUAGAAUAGGAGGGAGAGAGAUGGAGGGAGAUAAAAAGAAAUUGUUUCUGGUACGUGAGCGAGAGUGAGAGAAAUAUAUAUAUUUUUUCUUUCUUCCUGACACAAGGUACUGAGGUCAGAAAAAUGAGUGAAUAAAAAAAUUGAAAAAAAAUUGAAAAUACUAAACUGAUACUAUUUUGAAAAGAGUGGUCAAGAUUCAUCAUCAUGGAAUAGACGCAGAUAAAGUUCUCACGUUCGGGUUCUCACCAGAUCUUUUUUGUAUUUACAUAGUGUUGUAGUUUUUCUGAUUAGUGAUAGUACCUUUUAAGAUUGCUCGCAUGCCAGGUUCUUGGGAUUGCUGUUCCGUCUUCAUUGAUUAGCUUGAAUGUGCCGGUUUUCCAUUCUUUUUUAAUAAUGUAUGGUCCCUCCCAAUUUUUUGAUAAUUUUCCCUUGUUCUGCUCUGUCAUUGUUAGGUGAGCAUUUCUAAUUAGUACAAGGUCUCCCGGGGUCAGCUUGUUAUUCCCCACUCUUUUGUUGAAUAUCCUUUCGAUUGAUCUUCUUUUGUAGGUUGUUCCUUCAUUUCUGCUUUUUCUCUGAUAUUUUCUAUGACAUCCAGAUUUCUUGAGAGUUUUUCUUCAUUAAUUUCUUCGUCAUACCCCACGAUUCUAGCCGAGGGCCAAACUAAUUCGCAUGGGGCUACUGCCUCGAGUCCGAACACCAGGUUAAAUGGUGUGUAUCCAUUUGUUGUUUUAAUAGUUGUUCUAUAUGCCCAUAGUACUUCCGGAAUCUUUUCUGCCCAAACUUUAGGAUUCUCAUCUACUUUCUUUUUUAGAAUCUUUAUCAGAGUUUUAUUGGUUGCUUCUACCUGACCGUUUGUUUGAAGAUGAUAGGCUGAGGCGAAACUUAGUUUGAUUUCGUUCUCUUUGCAAAAUUUUCUCAUUCCUCCUCCGGUGAACUGUGUCCCGUUGUCUGUGAUGAUUUGUAUUGGUACACCAAAUCUGCAUACAAUGCUUCUGAAAAUGAAUUUUACUGUGCUUUCUUGAGAUAUUAAUUAUUCUUACAGGUUCUGCUUCUGCCCACUUGGUAAAAUAAUCGAUUGCGCCGAACAAUUUUUUUUUCCCUUGAGAAACGGUUGGAAAUGGCCCUACUAUGUCGAUUCCCCAUCUUGCAAAUGGUAUUGGUGUGAUAAUGCUUGUUAAUUCUGUAGAUGAUAUUUUUGGGAUAUCUGCAUAGAUUUGGCAUUCUUUGCAAUUUUUUAUUAUCUUUUUCGCAUCUCAUUCCAUGUGUGACCAGUAAUAGCCUUGUCGUUGAAUAUGUAGGAAUAACUUCCUUUUCCCUUGAUGGGCUCCGUUUUCUCCGUUGUGUAUGCUUGUUGUUAUCUCCUUUCCUUCUUCUGGUGAUACACAGAUUUUGUAUGGCUGAUCCUUUGAUUAUAUUUCUUUUCUAAAUAGUUCAUUGUUGAUGAUGGUGAAAUGUGCGGAUUGAUUUUUGAUCUUUUGAUUUUUGAUUUUUUCCCCAUUCAGCUUUUCUCCACUUAGGUAUUUGUAUACAGGGGUUCUCCAAUCGGGUUUGUCUAGUGAUACUGAAUAGAUUUUAAAUGAGGGGGUUGCUAUGCUUUCUAAUUGAAUCCAUUUUCUUUCCUUUAAGGUUGAUAGAUUUGCUCCUAACCUGGCUAGGGCGUCUGCAUCUUCGUUUAAACUCCUGUUAAUUAGAUUUAUGUUUAUUUUUUGGAAUUCUUUUAUCAUGGUUGUGACUUGAUCCUUAUAUAAUUUAGGCGUAGGCUCUCGGACCUCGAAGUCUUCGCUUAUCUGACCGUGUACUAAUUGCGAGUCCGUGAAUACUUCUAAUUUCUUAAUAUCUAGGUUUUUAGCUAUUCUUAGUCCUGCUAUGAGGGCUUCGUACUCGGUUAUGUUAUUAGUGGUUUGAAACGUAAAGUUGAAAGCAUAUUCUAUUUUGAUAUUUGCUUGAUCUAUCAAAACUAUGCCUGCUCCACAUUUAUUUUUCCCGAUGAUCCGUCAACGAAUAAUUUUCAAUUCUCGUUUUCUUCAUCUUGACUUUUUGGGGUUAAUUCCACUAAAAAAUCGGCUAAUGCUUGGGCUUUUAUUACUUUUUAUGGUGUAAAUGUUAUGUCGAAUUUGUUUAAUUCUAAGGCUCACUUGCUCAUCCUUCCUGAAAUAUUGGGUCUGUGGAGUGUCUGCAACAAUGGGUACCUAGUUGGGAUGACUAUCGAGUGUGCCUGAAAAUAGGGUUUCAGUCUUCGUGCUGACAUGACUACUGCUAAUGCCAGUCUCUCUAGAGGUGGGUAUGUGUUUUCUGCUCCUUGUAAUUUUUUGGAAAAGUAGAAUACUGGUUUUUGGAUUUUUUCUCUUUCGGUAACUAGAACCGAACUUACAGCGGAAUCUGACACUGCAAUGUAUAGAAACAAAGUUUCUCCUUUCUGUGGUGUUUGCAGUAUCAGGAGUUCUGAAAGUUCCUUUUUAAUAUUAUCUAACGCGUUACUGCACUCCUUAUUCCAUUCGAUUUUUCCUUUGUGCUUCCUAAUUAGUUUGAAGAAAUCCUUACAUUCGUCUGUGGAUCUGGGGAUGAAUCGGUGGAGUGCUGCGAUUUUCCCAUUCAUUGAUUGCAGAUCCUUCAGGUUUUUCGGUAUUUCCAGUUCCCUAAUGGCCUGAAUUUUUGUUGGGUUGGAUUUUAUUCCGUCUAGGGUUAUAAUGUAACCUAAGAACUUUCCUUCCCUUACUCCGAACACACACUUAUCUAACUUUAGUUUUAUACCGAAUUUUCUCAGGUUGUUGAAGGUUUCUUCUAAGUCCUGUGGAUGAUCUUCCUUCGAUUUGGAUUUCACAAAGAUAUCAUCUACCUACACUUCCACAUUCCUGUUGACUUGAUUCUUGAAGAUUUCGUCCAUUAAUCUUUGGAACGUUGCUCCUGCGUUUUUUAAUCCGAAUGACAUCUUAGUGUAGCAGAACGUUCCUAUUUCCGAGAUAAAUGAGGUUUUUUCCUCGUCGUGCUUAUUCAUGGGUAUUUGGUUGUAUCCUGAAUAUGCGUCCAUAAAACUAAGCAACUCAUGACUAGAGCUUCUGUCUAUCAGCUGGUCAAUCCAAGGUAGCGGAUAGCUAUCUUUCGGACAAAAUUUAUUCAGUGACGCAAAAUCGAUACACAUUCUCCAGGUUCCUACAGAUUUCUUAAUCAUAACUAUAUUUGAAAGCUAUAUGGGAUAUUUUACUUCUCUUAUGAAGUCGUUUUUUCUUAACUUCUCUAUUUCUGGGAUAUUGGAAGGUCAGAAGAAGAGAAACGCGCUGUGUUUGAAAUUAGUCAAAGAAUGGGUUUUAAAUUUUUAUGUUAAUAAUAUUUUCUAAACUAGAAGGAUUUUUUCACAAAAUAUCAAAAUUGAUCUCUGUAGUUAGUUAACUGACGACACAAACACGAGGGAUCUGAAAAAGAAAGGGAAGUACCAACAAAGAAUCGAACGGGAGGGAAAGAGGGCAAUCGUCUUGUUAAUCGGACCUUGCGGCGGAGGAAACGUUCACACCAAAAUCACCGACACUGUCCUCUUCCCGUCUAUUCUCUGUCUAUAAAUAGAACUAACACAGCCUGAAGUCGGCGACGUAAGGAUCGCCGCCGUAACUAUUCUGUUUACUCAUCUAUCUGUUUCCCGCUUUUUCUUUCUUUCUCUUUCUUUCCGUUUCCUUUUCAUUUUUUUCUUGUAUGGCGUCGUUUCCACCACUGAUCUCCUCGAUGCAAACUGAAAACGUCACCAUGGCACCCCGGUUUGGAUUUCACAUUCAAUGUACGAUUUCCAAUCCCUAGUUUGUUAGUUAUUAAUUGAAGAUUACCUCCCUCUUAUUUUAUUUUUCACAUAUAAUCUGUACGUUGGAAUUUGUUUCGGUGAUCGAGAGUUAUUCUUUCUCUCCCUGUAUUUUUGUCCUUAUUGAUGGGUUUUUGAGCUCUUAAUUAUUUUUUAUUACUACAACUGAGGUGCAAAUUUAAUUGAAAUGUCUUUUGGUCCUUUCUCUGAUAGUAGUUUUUUUUUUGUGUUUACUGAUGAUGAGCACAAGCUUAUGCAAAGUUUACUUGGCCUUUUUUUUUCUUCUUUCAGAAAUCUCAACUGCUAACCUGUUAUGAUGGCAUUGCCAGAGUCUGAUGUUGUGAAUGGGGGGGAGAGUAACGAUGUUGUAGCAGAUGGUAAAAUUGUGAAGAAUGGUGGCAUAACAAUUCAGUCUUCUUCUUCCAAGAAAAAGUUUGUAUUAAAAGAUACCCUCUCUUUUGCUAACAUUUUAAGAUCAAGGAACAAGUUUGUGGAAGCUCUUUCUAUGUAUCAAACCAUUUUGGAAAAAGAUAGUUCAAAUGUCGAAGCUUAUAUUGGAAAGGGAAUUUGUCUUCAGACGCAGAACAUGAUAAGCGAAUCUUUUGAAUGUUUUAUAGAGGCUAUUAAGCUUGAUCCGCACAAUGCAUGUGCACUUACCCAUUGCGGAAUUCUCUACAAGGAUGGAGGGCUCUUGCAGGAAGCUGCUGAGGUAUGCAUUCUUUUAAUCUCUAAAAUGAUUAUUAUAGUAUUUAUGUAAUUUUCAAAACACUUUAUGGCAUAGGAUAUAAAAAGGUGGGAGCUGUCUUUGCAAAAGUUAUUUUUGUUUGCCGGCAAGUGUUACCAUCUAUAGUUCUGUUUCCAUGUUUGGGUUCAAAUGUUUUUUCUUUCUUUUUCUCAUUCACGUUUGAUGUUUAAAACACUUUAUCGUGCUAAAAUUCUUAUCUCUUUUUUAGUCACCCCUAUUUCAAUUCAAGUAUUUAAAUAAGACUUGGUCAUCUUCUUUGAUGCCAAUAUCUAUAAAAAAUAUCUAGUACUCGUAGAUUGAGGUUAAUGCUUUACUCUCUGAGGAGUCUAAUUCCUUGAGACACUCACCAGAAUCUAUAUAAUGCCAAUGGCAGAGCUAUGUAGUGAUAACAAUCAAUAAUGAUAAGCUCUAAGCUUAUCUCUCAAAUGAUUAUAUCUGGAUUUGGCCCUUUAUUUUAUAUUAAUAGAAUUAUAAAUUUAUACAAAAAAAGUAUUUUUCAUUUUAGCUAUGAGUUAGGAUGGAAACUUGGAAUACUGAUUACAGUAAAAGGACAAGAUAUCUUUUCUGUAUUUUUAUUUAAAGCAGUUAAAUAUUUUCGUUAAGAGAAAAUGAAGGAUAUUUCCCUGAAUACAAUGGAAAUUAGCAUAAGAAUAAAAAUAUGAAAAUUAGUGCAGGACUCAUUUUGACACUUUCCACACAACCAUUUUGCCUAGUAUAGAAACUAGGCUCUCUGCUUCCGGAGGUUGGUCUUCCAUAUCUGUAUCGUGCUAGGUCCCAAGGGACGACAACAUCUCUUCUUGAAGCCCUUGGAUAGGAAAUAUUUAUGUCAUUAAUGACUUCUUUGAGAGCUGUUUCUGGUGGCCGGAAUGAAUGUUGUUGCCAUCUUUUGUUUCUUUCUGCCCAUAUAUGUCAACUCAAGGGUCCAAUCAUAUUCCAUAGUAGGCCCUAAAUUUGAGAGUGCCGUGUUAGCUUUUGACAUGCCUCAGUUAGGUCCCCUAGUCUAAUUUCAGGAUGUGUGAUAGUAGGCGUGGCCGCGUGGCUAUAUUCAUGAUUUUCCAUAAAUUUGUGGGAUGCUUUACUUCUGUGGCAAACCCCCGAGUUUCACGGGUUUAGAGUCAAUGUGCAUGCCUCAUUUCUCACACCAGCUACAUUUUUAUCUUUACUAUGUAUUUUCCUGUUCAAUUUCCAUUCUAAUGGACUUUUAACUUCAUAAAAAAACAAUAAAUAUUUUUUUAGUUCAAUAGGCGAUCUUUGUAACACUAACACUUGUUGCAUUUUCUUACAGACGUAUAAAAAAGCUCUUCAUGAAGAUCCUGGUUACAAACCAGCUGCCGAGUGUCUUGCGAUUGUUUUAACAGACCUUGGAACCACCUUAAAGCUUGCUGGAAACACUCAGGAGGGAAUACAAAAAUAUUGUGAAGCUUUAAAAAUAGACAACAGCUAUGCUGUAAUACCCCAGCUAUAAAACUUCAUUGUUUUCUGUCUGUUGUGUUAAUUUCAAUGAUAUUUUUUCAUGCAGCCUGCUUAUUAUAAUCUAGGGGUUGUAUAUUCAGAAAUGAUGCAGUAUGACAAUGCUCUUACCUGUUAUGAGAAGGCUGCUCUACAGAGGCCUAUGUAUGCAGAAGCAUACUGUAACAUGGGAGUCAUACACAAAAAUCGAGGGGACUUGGAAUCGGCAAUCACUUGCUAUGAGAGGUGCUUCCUUGUUAUAUGUUCAAUUAUUUAGCAUGUGAAUUGUGAAAGAUACAUAACUAAUUUUCAUUUCACAUUUGAUGUAAAUUUUCUUUUCAAUUUUCAGAUGCUUAGCUAUGUCUCCUAACUUUGAGAUUGCCAAAAACAAUAUGGCAAUAGCUUUGACAGAUUUGGGAACAAAGGUGUGUUUGAUCACUUUUCUUGAAUACUUUUUUUUUUGAUAAAGUUGAGGGCUUCUUGAAAACCAUGGCUGAUUGGGUACUUUUUUGUUAUGAUUACAUUUUCAAAAAGUGUCGAUGGGCUCAUGGGUCUGUCCAUCUUUUUCUCCGAUAUGCCAUUUUUCACUUGGCUGUUUAGCUAAGAAAAAAAACUAGUUAUAUAUUUUUUUCCAACGAAAAAUACAGGCUUAAUCAUAUAUUUAUUUUAUUGACCAUUUAUUAUCUUACUGUUUGUUAUACAUGAAUUAAUGCAGGUAAAACUAGAGGGCGAUAUUAACCAAGGUGUGGCUUAUUAUAAAAAAGCCUUAUACUACAACUGCCGAUAUGCUGACGCCAUGUAUAACCUUGGUGUUGCAUAUGGUGAAAUGUUAAAAUUUGAAACUGUAAGUUAUUCCUAUAUGGCUGUAUGUCUAUUUCUCAUAAGGAAAAGAUUAAGAUCAUUAUAUGAUUUUUUCUAAUAAUUGUUGCAUACCAUUUGUGAUCGUGUUAGAUAAUUGAAAUAAAUGCUUUUCUUUGACGUUCUUUUGUGAAGGCAAUCAUAUUUUACGAGCUUGCUUUGCACUUCAAUCCGCAAUGUGCAGAGGCAUGUAAUAAUUUAGGAGUAAUAUACAAAGAUAGAGAUAAUCUUGAAAAGGCGGUGGAGUGUUAUCAGGUGAUUUUUAUGAAUAUUUCAUUUGAUCUUGGAUGUUUUUCAAUUUCGCACUUUUCUGUGUUCUUUGCAAGAUUUGGGUAUUAUAUUACUAUUAACUCUGAUAUUUAUAUAAUAUAUGAACUUGUUAUCUUUCAGACAGCGUUAAUGAUCAAACCAACAUUUUCUCAGUCUCUAAACAAUCUUGGUGUUAUCUACACUGUCCAGGUCAAUCUCCUGAUCCUCCUCUUUCAUUCAUAUUAUUUUUGUGAAGUGGAUGCAUAUGGUGAGAAAUUCCUUGUUUUUUACAGGGGAAAAUGGAUUUGGCGGCUAACAUGAUUGAAAAAGCAAUUGCUGCCAAUUCCACAUAUGCAGAAGCAUAUAACAAUUUGGGUACCAGCUAUUCUUUACUAUUAUAUUUUUUGUAAUCGUGAAUUAUUAGCAUUGAAGAUCUUUGUCAUACAUUUCUAGUAAAAGGGAUUACCUAAUAGCAUGUAGUCAUGUAAAUAAGUACUUAACUAUGUAGAGUUAAGUAUAAGAUAUAUCUUAUAUUUAAAAAAUUCUAUAUUUAUAGAGUAACAUUUAUAUUUAUGCAUACAUUUCAUUCAAUUUGAUUAUUGAGAUAUAUUAUACUUCUGCAGUUCUGCUGUUAUUACUUUGCUCGAGUUAAUAUUUUCCUUGGUAACACAUCCAAUCUCCAAAUUCUCUAUGUUUAGGUGUUCUCUAUAGAGAUGCAGGAGACAUUGCCUUAUCUAUUGAUGCGUAUGAGAAGUGCCUUCAAAUUGACUGUGAUUCACGUAAUGCUGGCCAGGUAGUGCAUAAAUGGCAUAAUUGUUCUUAUUAAAAAAUUAAAAAAAGUUAAUUUUUAAUCAGCUUAAAUGUCUUGUUCAUUUGUUAACUGGAUCUAUUCAAUUUUUCUUUAUUAACCCUACCAUGUGUCAUGUGUGCUAGUAAAACAAGGUAGCCUAUUUUGAAACAUUGAGGUUCUGUCACUUUGUCAGUUUACUUGCAAAUAUAUUCACGAUUUUUUUGUAUCCAAAAAUAUACAUGUGAAUUUUAUUUUUCUUACACAAUCCAAAAUUAACAUCAUGUUAAAACUUUUUUUUUUGAAAGCAACGUCAUGUUAAAACUUGAAUUUAGUACAAUAAGGUAAAAAUAUGUUCGUUUUUAAAAUGUCAACUCAUCAAUUUAUUAUAAAUUUAUAAUUGGGACUUAGGUAGAAAUGCAUUUUUCCUAGUUAAUAGUUACAAGAUGCCAAGAUGGUACAUUCUAAAAAAGGAUGAUAGAUGGUAGUAAGUAGUAAGUUAUUUUGUAGACAAUAUGUUCAAUUAAAAUAAUCUUUCUGUUGAAACAUAUUUCUAUAAAUUGGGAUACUUUUUUUAUUUUUCAAAUUUUAACAAAUCAUUUUUUUCUAUCUAAUAAUUUAUCUGGUUGAUACAUCAUUAAGAUGUUUACAGUUUACUUCUUUUCACAAUUCUGUUUUCCUUUUCAGAAUCGUUUGCUAGCAAUGAACUAUGUAAAUGAGGGCGAUGAUGAUAAACUUUAUGAAGCUCACAGGUAGUUAUUCUCUAAUACACUUUCUAUUUCUCUCAGACCACAUGUGUCAUGAUAGUACUCCUGUACUUGAUGAAUUUAACACUUUCACUGGCUUGGGUAUAAACAGAGGAAAUAUUUCCAUGACUUUAUCAAAAGUAUGCCAGGGGGAUGAACAAUUAAUAAACAUACUGGGUUUCCAAGAAAAACACCUACCAAUCAUGUAUCUAGGCCUUCGGCCUUCCUAUUACAGGGAAGAAAAAAAUCCAUAAUCAAUGAUGGAAAUUAAUACAACCAGUAGAAAAACUGUUAUCCAAAUGAAAAUAAUGCAGGAUCAAUUAAUCCCACAGAUCAGAGAUUCAAUCAACUAGACAAGAUGGUGUUCUUGGUGAUUUGUGAUUGUAGGUUGAAUAAAUCUGGAUCGGAAAAUAGUAGGGAAAAUAGAAGGAAUUGACAGAAAGAAAAUGGGAGUAAAGGAUAGAGAACAAAGUAAAGGAGUACCUGAAUAAUGGUAUCAAGAAUUGCUCCUCUUUUCAGGUCCACUAUAUUUAUACUCAGGAGUCAGGACCAGGGUUAGAGGACAUGAUCACAGGACCACAGUAUGAGUGUGUGUGGUUCAGAGGUUGAACACACAGGCUCGAGCUAUUCUUAGGCCUCAUUUGGGGUCUGCUCUAUAUAAUUAGUUAAAUAUAGAUGUUGCUCUACAUCAGAAAGGGAAAAUACUUAUCGUACAGGGGUAGAAUACAAUUGGUAAACUGUAUAGUGGCUGGAAUGUAUAUAUACUGGGCACAGGGUACCACAUUACCAUGUUUAGUAGUAACCAAGGUUAGGAAGCUGCAUACCAGUUCAUAAUGGAUGGAAGAAAAGGGAUACCAUGAGAAAAAAUGGUUCUCCCAAAGAUGGAAGGUGGGCUAGGGGUCAGGAACUUUCCAGUUAUAACUAGGGCAGUGGCUAUAAAAAGAGCUGCCAACUUUUGGGGAGAGGGGAACUCUAUAUUGAUCAGUUGGGUCAAGAAAAGAUACAUAAGAGAACAAGCAUUAGAAAAUACACAGAUCAGACCAACAGUUGACUCUCUAAUGUGGAAACAACUCAUCGGCCAAAAAGUGGAAUUAGGAGAGAUAAUGAGUUGUGAGGCAAAUUACAUUAUUAUUUGGGAGAAAGUUAGGGUCUUAGGGAACUUUAUCCAACUAAUCAGACUUACUAGCCACAAGGGUCAAUUGGCACAAGGAAUAUGGCGAUGUGCCGGUAUCCAGACCCAAAAUUAUCUGCUAUGCAAUAAAGAUGAGAAAACAAUUAGCCAUCUCUUCUUUAAUUGGGAGUACAUGGGGGACAUCCUCAUUAGAGUUAUUGAAACAUUAGGACAGUUCAUUUGGAAAAUAACUAAUGUUCCAAUUCCUACACUCAACAUGGACAUCAGAAUUGGAGACCUUAUAGAGGCUUGUCAGAAUUCAGAAAUUCUUUAAAGAUACGCUAUGCUGGGGGCUGCAAUAUUGCAAUGGAAUAUUUUAGGGAGUACAACAUGGAAAAUAUGGGUUGAAAGGAAUAAAAGACUUAUGAACCAUAUACUUAGAAAUAUAAAAUAUGCUAUUAUGCAUUAAUGAUUUACCAUUCAUAAUU